GAGGCUAGGACCAGAGGGCAUAAUCUCAGAAUAGGGGGUCAUCCAUUUAAGACAUGACGAGAAAUCUCUUCUCAGAGUAGUGAAUCUGUGGAAUUUUAUACUGUAGAGGAUUAUAGAGGCUGGGUCAAUAAGUAUAUUCAAGGCUAAGAUGGACAGAUUUUUAAUCAGUAAGAAAAUCAAGGGUUUACGGGGUAAAGGCCAAAAAGUGGAGUUGAACCAUGACUGUCUUGAAUGGCUGAGCAGGCUCAACUGGCUGAAUGGCCUACUUCAGCUCCUUUUUGUCUUUUGAUCUCAGAUGUAGAAGCAGUUCAUGUCCGUGUGCAGUACACCUUGCCAAUAUUGGCUAGUACCAUAUGCAUCACUUAAUUGCCAGGCAAUGAUCAUCUCCUCCAGCAACAGAGAAUCUAAUAAUUUAUCCUUGAUAUUCAAGCGCAUUGACUUUGCUAAAUCCCAAAUUGUCAAUAUUCUGACUAGAGGCUGGACCAGCCAUGUAAACAGACCAGCUACAAGAACAGAUUAGAGACUAGGAAUUUGGAGGCAAUUACUCAUCUCCUGGUUGCCCAAUGUGUUGCCGCUAAUGUACAUGGCACGAGUUAGUGUGAUGGAAUACUGCAUACUUUCUUGAAUGGGUGUUGCUUCAGCAACACUGCAGAAAUUUGACAUCAUUCAGUCUAAAAUAGCCCACUUGUUGACACCCAUUCACCAUCUUCCAGAUUCCCCCAUCUUGCAGUUUGUACCAUUUCCAAGAUGCACAGUAGCAAUUUAUCAAGGUUGUUUCAACAUCACCUUCCAAACCUGCGACCUCUGCCGUUUAUACGGGAGCACCACUAUCUGCAAGUUUCCCUCCAAGCCACGUACUGUGCUGACUUGGAAUUAUUCACCAUUCCUGCACUAUUGCAGGGUCAGAAUCCUGGAAUUCUUAACGGUAUUGUGGGUGAACUUGCUUUCAUGGAUUACAAUAGUUCACCACCACAUUCUCGAGCUCAGUUAGUACUAGACCGUGAAAGGUGGCAAAGUCACAUCAUCCGAAAAUGUGGUGCCCAGAACUGGGCACAGCACUCCAGUUGAGGCCAAACCGAUGUUCUAUACAAAGUUUACAAAACUUUCUUGCAUUUGUACACUGUCACUGUUAAUAAAGCCUAGCCUGCCGUAGGUUUUUUUUUAAUCAGCCUGUUCAGGGAUGUUAUGACACACCUCUGAAGCAGGUGAAACUUGAAACAAGUCCUCCUGGCUCAGAGAUAGGGACACUACCACUGUCACAAGAACCAAAGCCUGCUGUAUGCUUUCACUUUCUCAACUUAUCCUGUCACUUCAUUGAUUUCUGUGCAAAAAUUCUACAUCUAGGACCCUCUAUUCCAGUACCCUCUUUAGAAUUGUCUAAGCAGUUAAUGUAAUGGCAACUUUCAAGCCAUGCUGUUACAUUUUCCUUUAUACCAUAUGUCUAGUCUUUCUGAUAAGCCUGUGGUGAACUACCUAUUUGAACACUUUCUGACAAUCCACAUGAAACAUUCCCAUUUCUGUCCACAUGAUCAUUUCUUCAGAAAUCUACUAAUUUCAUUUAAAUACAACUUUUAAAUAGGUUACAGGAAAAGGACUGGUGUUCCCAUGCUGAACUGUGACCAGUGGCAAUUGUGAAGAUAAAGCAAUUUGUUUCUUGAAAGUGAAUAGAAAAGUUGUGAAUCACUUGUCCAUCUCCUAAUGAUUAGUUAGGAAAUCACCAAUGCCAAGAAACAGUUCACUUGCUUAAUCCUUUACUUGAGAAAUAAUUUGGACAGGAACUAGGAGAAAGGGGAAAUAAAUGAGUUGGGUUUUGCAUAGAAAAAAUAACAGUUUGGAAAGAUGUUCAUAGUGUGUAUCUUUACUUUUUUGUUUUUAGGGAUGCAUUUACAUAUGUUCAGGAAAGGAGAUUUUGUAUUAAUCCAAAUGCUGGAUUUGUCCAUCAGCUGCAGGAGUAUGAAGCCAUUUAUUUAGCAAAAUUGACAAUAAAGAUGAUGUCACCACUUCAGCUGGGCAGAUCAGUUUCUGCACAAGGAACCUUAAAAAGAAUGCUGGAAGAUGAUGAUGAUAUUUCGAGUAUGCAGGUGGCUGCAGUCCAUGAUGGGUAACCCAUAACUACCCCAUUAAAUAUAAUGGACAUGAUUACUGUACUGUAUUAAACAGUGAAUAAAGGAUGAGAAGUGUUAUGGGAUGUUUGAGAUUAUGAAUACUAAAAACUUACAUGGCAAAAUUUACUUUCUUUCCAUUUCUGAAUUCGUGUCUUGCUACUUCUGAGGAAGUAUGCUAAAAUGGAGAACUUGCCCUUUCAUAUGAGAACAACCUGGAGCACUAGAAUCUCUUAUGAAAAUAUUAAAAUGACCAGGAACAGCACAACACAUUUUUGAUGGAUUUUCAAGUCUUCAUAUGCUAAUUAUUUUACAUUUUUACCAAUUGCAGUUUUGACAGUUAAUAAGUAUGCAUGUGCUAAGACAUGGAUGCACUUUUGAUACUUGAAUUUUGAUUGUAUGAGAGUUUGAUAGGGAAAUAAUGCACUGUGUGCUUGAUGUCAGACCCAUACAUGCAAUUUGUUACAAAGUGUUAAUCUUUGAGUGUAAUUUAUUAAAACUUUCAAUAAAAAAAGUUUGAUUAAUUCCUUAA